rnacentral:piRNA from 1 species
UAGGAUGUAUAGACCCAAAAUCUGGGAAUAAU